CAACUUUCAACGACGGAUCUCUUGGUUCAGGCAUCGAUGAAGAACGCCGCGAAAUGAGAAAAGUAGCGUGAAUUGCAGAAUUCAAUGAAUCAACGAAUCUUUGACCGCACAUUGCGCCCCUUGGUAUUCCAUGGGGAAUGCCUGAUCGAGCGUCAUUU
rnacentral:rRNA from 1 species